GAUGAACGCUGGCGGCGUGCUUAACACAUGCAAGUCGAACGGUGAAGGCGGAGCUUGCUCUGCUGGAUCAGUGGCGAACGGGUGAGUAACACGUGAGCAAUCUGCCCUUGACUCUGGGAUAAGCGCUGGAAACGGCGUCUAAUACUGGAUACGAGCUGCGAAGGCAUCUUCAGCAGCUGGAAAGAGGUGCGGUCAGGGAUGAGCUCGCGGCCUAUCAGCUUGUUGGUGAGGUACUGGCUGACCAAGGCGUCGACGGGUAGCCGGCCUGAGAGGGUGACCGGCCACACUGGGACUGAGGGACGGCCCAGACUCCUACGGGAGGCAGAAGUGGGGAAUAUUGCACAAUGGGCGGAAGCCUGAUGCAGCAACGCCGCGUGAGGGACGACGGCCUUCGGGUUGUAAACCUCUUGUAGCAGGGAAGAAGCGAGAGUGACGGUACCUGCAGAAAAAGCGCCGGCUAACUACGUG
rnacentral:rRNA from 1 species